rnacentral:rRNA from 1 species
CCUACGGGUGGCAGCAGUGAGGAAUAUUGGUCAAUGGACGCAAGUCUGAACCAGCCAAGUAGCGUGCAGGAUGACGGCCCUAUGAGUUGUAAACUGCUUUUGUACGAGGGUAAACUCAGACACGUGUGUCUGUUUGCAAGUACCGUAUGAAUAAGGAUCGGCUAACUCCGUGCCAGCAGCCGCGGUAAUACGGAGGAUUCAAGCGUUAUCCGGAUUUAUUGGGUUUAAAGGGUGCGUAGGCGGUCGGAUAAGUUAGUUGUGAAAUCCCGAGGCUCAACCUUGGAAUUGCCUCUGAUACUGUUCGGCUAGAGAGCAGUUGCGGUAGGCGGAAUGCAUGGUGUAGCGGUGAAAUGCUUAGAGAUCAUGCAGAACACCGAUUGCGAAGGCAGCUUACCAAGCUGCUACUGACGUUGAGGCACGAAAGCGUGGGGAGCAAACAGGAUUAGAUACCCCUGUAGUC